rnacentral:sRNA from 1 species
UUUAUAAAAGCAGGGAGCUGGAGCAUCACACCCUUGUACCGCCAGUCCUCAUGUUUAUGCCAUACCAUCAAGGCUUAUACAGCAGAUGCUGUAGCCCAUGGUGGUGUGAGCUGCCAGGUCGUGCUGCACAGCUAGCUCAUGGAGUCUCAAGACUACUUUUUUUUUUUUAUAGGUAUUGGAAAUCUACAAAGGACAUCCAGCCAACGAAGUACCCUUACAUACCAAAGAAAUAAUUAUGCUCUGAACACAACAGCUACCUACGCGGAGCCCUACAGGCCUAUACAAUACCGAGUGCAAGAGUGCAAUUAUAACAGGCUUCAGCAUGCAGUGCCAGCUGAUGACGGCACCACAAGAUCCCCAUCAAUAGACAGCAUUCAGAAGGACCCCAGGGAGUUUGCCUGGCGUGAUCCUGAGUUGCCUGAGGUCAUUCACAUGCUUCAGCACCAGUUCCCAUCUGUUCAGGCAAAUGCAGCGGCCUACCUGCAGCACCUGUGCUUUGGUGACAACAAAGUGAAGAUGGAG